GCAAUGGCAGCUGAUGUCACAAAGGCAGUACUGUUCCUUACGCUAGAUAUGGCUGAUAACCCUGGUGAGUGUCUCUGAACAAAGCCACAGUGAUGGGCUCCAGCUGAAAGAGAAGUGCAGGAAAAGGAAGCAGGGACCCAAGAUACAGAAGCAUCAGAUCCGUGGAAAGAAAGUUUCAUCUGUACGAGGCAAUGAAACUCUGUGAGGAGGAGACUCCGCCGUGUGGAGGCAGAACUGAGUGACCACCUUACCUCUUCCAGCUUGAAAGCAAUCAUGGAAACAGCUCUAAAAACUGCAUCAGUGGAUCCUGUGAUAGUGGUGAUCCGUUCUGGACACGAUCCCUCUGAAAUUGUGAUCCUGGCUGUACUCUAAGAAAGCAAACCAUGAGAGAACAUACAACGAUAAUAUAUAUAUAUGCAAUCUGGGUAAAAAGGUAUUUUCAGGUCAACUGAAUAUUAUGGGAAACUUGUGUCUUCCUCCAGUCCCAAACCUACUUCCUGUCUCCCAGCUAGGGAUGAGAUAUUUAUGUGAAAUUAUGUCAUCAUUGCAUCACUCCUGUUUUAU